UACAGAGGGUGCAAGCGUUAAUCGGAAUUACUGGGCGUAAAGCGCGCGUAGGUGGACAAGUAAGUUGGAUGUGAAAUCCCCGGGCUCAACCUGGGAACUGCAUUCAAAAACUGCUUAUCUAGAGUAUGGUAGAGGGGGAGUGGAAUUUCCGGUGUAGCGGUGGAAAAUGCGUAGAUAUCGGAAGGAACACCAGUGGCGAAGGCGACUCCCUGGACUAAUACUGACACUGAGGUGCGAAAGCGUGGGGAGCAAACAGG
rnacentral:rRNA from 1 species